rnacentral:rRNA from 1 species
CUUGGUGUCUUUGGAGAGUGGGGUACACCUGUUCUCAUCUCGAACACAGCAGUUAAGCCACUCAUCGCCGAUGGUACUGCCCGUCAUGCGGGUGGAAGAGUAGGUCGACGCCAAGA